rnacentral:rRNA from 1 species
GAGGUUAAGCGACUAAGCGUACACGGUGGAUGCCCUGGCAGUCAGAGGCGAUGAAGGACGUGCUAAUCUGCGAUAAGCGCCGGUAAGGUGAUAUGAACCGUUAUAACCGGCGAUUUCCGAAUGGGGAAACCCAGUGUGACUCGUCACACUAUCAUUAACUGAAUCCAUAGGUUAAUGAGGCGAACCGGGGGAACUGAAACAUCUAAGUACCCCGAGGAAAAGAAAUCAACCGAGAUUCCCCCAGUAGCGGCGAGCGAACGGGGAGGAGCCCAGAGCCUGAAUCAGCAUGUGUGUUAGUGGAAGCGUCUGGAAAGGCGCGCGAUACAGGGUGACAGCCCCGUACACAAAAGCGCAUGUGCUGUGAGCUCGAUGAGUAGGGCGGGACACGUGGUAUCCUGUCUGAAUAUGGGGGGACCAUCCUCCAAGGCUAAAUACUCCUGACUGACCGAUAGUGAACCAGUACCGUGAGGGAAAGGCGAAAAGAACCCCGGCGAGGGGAGUGAAAAAGAACCUGAAACCGUGUACGUACA